GUUGAAGGAAGUACAUGUCCAUCUGCCCUCCUUUAAUGCGAGUGAAAAGGAUGAAUGCGGGAAUCAACUUGACCCAGUGCUGCCUGGAGGAAUGUCGCCCAUGGGAGCUGUCUCAGGUGCCGAUUGCUCCCAUGACCGUCCUGGCCUCCCCACCACAUUCCUGCAUUUAAAUGAGAGCUGGUCAAUGUUUCACUCCUGCUGCCCUCCCAGGCACAUCGUGCCCAGCUAGUGAACUAUUAACCACCAGCAGCCGCUGCCUGGCCGCCUCUUCAACCCCUCUCCUUAGAAGCUUCCAACACUUUUCUACUGGAUGUAAUUGAUCUACCAAACCUGACAAGUGCGGAGGAGGCUUCCUCUCCAGUUGACAAGGAGCCUCCUGAAAACAUUUUUUGCAACUUUCCUAACAAUAUAAGAUUCUGCUAUACAAGUUUGGAAUCACACCUUAGGCGUCCACAGUGACUCUUGAACUACUUUUGAUAUGUCUGGACUAUUGUUUUCUGUCUGCUGUUCCUGGAACAGGGGAUGGUGUGUGUUGGUAAAAGUAUGAGACUGCGAAUACACACUAGGGUGGAACAUGAGCUGCUCCAGGGAGAGUAUUUCCUGAAACAAACAGGUAUGAGCGCCACAGAUAAAGACUUUUGUGAACCCAGGAUUAUCAAGACUACCAAUGAGACUUCAUGGGGAAAUUCCUCAGGAGGCAGCACAGAUCAUGGUGGGUGGGGAACCCCUUACAAUAGAAGGGUGAAGUCUUUGAAACACAAUCUGUAAGGCUUGUCUGGAUGUACUUGAGCUGGAUUGAGGGAAGAAUUUAAAAAAGAAAUGAAAC